CACGUAGGGUGCAAGCGUUGUCCGGAAUCAUUGGGCGUAAAGAGCUCGUAGGCGGCCUGUCGCGUCGGAUGUGAAAAUCCAAGGCUCAACCUUGGACCUGCAUUCGAUACGGGCAGGCUAGAGUUCGGUAGGGGAGACUGGAAUUCCUGGUGUAGCGGUGAAAUGCGCAGAUAUCAGGAGGAACACCGGUGGCGAAGGCGGGUCUCUGGGCCGAUACUGACGCUGAGGAGCGAAAGCGUGGGGAGCGAACAGG
rnacentral:rRNA from 1 species